GAUGAACGCUGGCGGCGUGCCUAAUACAUGCAAGUCGAGCGAACAGACGAGGAGCUUGCUCCUUCGACGUUAGCGGCGGACGGGUGAGUAACACGUAGGUAACCUACCUAUAAGACUGGGAUAACUUCGGGAAACCGGAGCUAAUACCGGAUAAUAUUUCGAACCGCAUGGUUCGAUAGUGAAAGAUGGCUUUGCUAUUACUUAUAGAUGGACCUGCGCCGUAUUAGCUAGUUGGUAAGGUAACGGCUUACCAAGGCAACGAUACGUAGCCGACCUGAGAGGGUGAUCGGCCACACUGGAACUGAGACACGGUCCAGACUCCUACGGGAGGCAGCAGUAGGGAAUCUUCCGCAAUGGGCGAAAGCCUGACGGAGCAACGCCGCGUGAGUGAUGAAGGUCUUCGGAUCGUAAAACUCUGUUAUUAGGGAAGAACAAACGUGUAAGUAACUGUGCACGUCUUGACGGUACCUAAUCAGAAAGCCACGGCUAACUACGUG
rnacentral:rRNA from 1 species